UGAACUACAGGUACAAAAUUUAAUCAUCGAUUCUAAAGUAUCCUAAAUCCACGUGAUCUUUACCACAAACAGCUGUUUGAUCAAUGGAAGUAUGCUUCGGAACACUGGAAUUCUGGCGUAGUGAAACAGUUUUAUUAAAUGUAAUUAAUUAUGGUGUAUUUUUUAACAUUAUCUGAAACACUCAUCAUCGGUAUUCACUUUCUCCUCGGUCUAUUAUACAAGCAGUGUAUUAAUGUAAAAUUAAUAUCCUAAUAAGGAUUUGGAUAAAGGAUGCGAUUAACGUUAGUGGAAAAUAAAUGACAGAGUCGAGUAAAGAUAAAAAUCCGGAAAGGUGACUCUAAAAUUAAUUAUCUCUAAUAAGGAUUUGGAUAAAGAGUGCGAUUGACGUUAGUGGACAAUAAUCGAUGGGGUCAAGCGAAGGUAAAAAUCCGGAAAGAUGAUUAAUCGGUUAUAUAUUAGGGUACCGAGGAAGAUUAGUGGUAAACUUUCGUUCGCUCGCCUAUUCAAACAGGCGCGAGAAGUAGGAAACUCGAGAACCAGGUAUAUAUUAAAAAUUGAUACAGAGUUCAUUCAUUUAUCCCAGAAGGAAAUUACCUUAUCAUUAAAUAUUUUUUAAAUACGUCAUUCAAACAGAUGUUGUAUAUCUAUGAUGAAAAAAGCGAACGGUUAAUAUUUCAGUAAAUUAUCACAGAGGAACAGACCAAAACAUUCCGUGAAACAAAUUACUCAGUAUUUGUAACUUUUAUGACAUCAUCUUAUAACAUGCUUGAAAUUUUACGUUUCUUAUUUUUGCUUUCAGAGUAUUUAAAUACUUACAGUAUUAUUUUCCCGUGUACAGCCUUUCUGCACCCCAAACAGUUUUACCGAUAUGAUGCGUUGUUCAAUUGUUUGUUGUAAUUGUAUACAAACAUUACAUUGUUAUAAAUAUAUGAAUGAGCUAUAAAUAUAUGAAUGAGCAAACGACCAAUCAAGAAUUCCUGUCUCUUACGUUUCCGAUGAACAUACUUUAUAUUGAUUAUCGAGGCACUUUCUAUCAUUUUACAUUUUAACAUGUUUGACAUAAUUUUGUUGUGUCUAACAUGGAAGUCGCAAUUUGAUUCAAAUCAUCACACAUUUUUACAUUGUAUCAGAAGGGUUAUAAAGGGGGAUAACUCUAAAAUCAAUUGUCUGGCCGUUUGCUCAACCGGAAAUUGCGUUAAUUGUUUAAUUGAUGAAGGAACAGUUGUAUACUGAUGGUGUGGUUGUUAGUGUAUUAUAGCUGUAUACUGAUGGUGAGGUUGUGAGUGUACUACAGUUGUAUACUGAUGGUGAGGUUGUGAGUGUACUACAGCUGUAUACUGAUGGUGUGGUUGUGAGUGUACUACAGCUGUAUACUGAUGGUGUGGUUGUUAGUGUACUACAGCUGUAUACUGAUGGUGUUAUUAGUGUACUACAGUUGUAUACUGAUGGUGAGGUUGUGAGUGUACUAUAGCUGUAUACUGAUGGUGAGGUUGUUAGUGUACUACAGCUGUAUACUGAUGGUGAGGUUGUGAGUGUACUACAGCUGUAUACUGAUGGUGAGGUUGUGAGUGUACUACAGCUGUAUACUGAUGGUGUGGUUGUGAGUGUACUACAGCUGUAUACUGAUGGUGAGGUUGUGAGUGUACUAUAGCUGUAUACUGAUGGUGAGGUUGUGAGUGUACUACAGCUGUAUACUGAUGGUGAGGUUGUGAGUGUACUACAGCUGUAUACUGAUGGCGAGGUUGUGAGUGUACUACAGCUGUAUACUGAUGGUGUGGUUGUGAGUGUACUACAGCUGUAUACUGAUGGUGUGGUUGUGAGUGUACUACAGCUGUAUACUGAUGGUGAGGUUGUGAGUACUACAGCUGUAUACUGAUGGUGAGGUUGUGAGUGUACUACAGCUGUAUACUGAUGGUGAGGUUGUGAGUGUACUACAGCUGUAUACUGAUGGCGAGGUUGUGAGUGUACUACAGCUGUAUACUGAUGGUGUGGUUGUGAGUGUACUACAGCUGUAUACUGAUGGUGUGGUUGUGAGUGUACUACAGCUGUAUACUGAUGGUGUGGUUGUGAGUGUACUACAGCUGUAUACUGAUGGUGAGGUUGUGAGUGUACUACAGCUGUAUACUGAUGGUGAGGUUGGGAGUGUACUACAGCUGUAUACUGAUGGUGUGGUUGUGAGAGUACUACAGCUGUAUACUGAUGGUGUGGUUGUGAGUGUACUACAGCUGUAUACUGAUGGUGUGGUUGUGAGUGUACUACAGCCGUAUACUGAUGGUGUGGUUGUGAGUGUACUACAGCUGUAUACUGAUGGUGUGGUUGUGUGAGUACUACAGCUGUAUACUGAUGGUGUGGUUGUGAGUGUACUACAGCUGUAUACUGAUGGUGAGGUUGUGAGUGCACUACAGCUGUAUACUGAUGGUGUGGUUGUGUGAGUACUACAGCUGUAUACUGAUGGUGUGGUUGUGAGUGUACUACAGCUGUAUACUGAUGGUGAGGUUGUGAGUGCACUACAGCUGUAUACUGAUGGUGAGGUUGUGAGUGUACUACAGCUGUAUACUGAUGGUGUGGUUGUUAGUGUACUACAGCUGUAUACUGAUGGUGUGGUUGUGAGAGUACUACAGCUGUAUACUGAUGGUGAGGUUGUGAGUGUACUACAGCUGUAUACUGAUGGUGUGGUUGUGAGUGUACUACAGCUGUAUACUGAUGGUGUGGUUGGGAGGAAGAGAUUUUUAUUUCUUUUUUUUUUUCUUCUAACGAUGUUGUAACCAACCUGUCAUCCAUUGCUUAUGAACGUUUCGGCUCUUACAAUAAAGAUUCCCUGUGAACGUACUA